rnacentral:rRNA from 1 species
AUAUUGCGCAAUGGAGGGAACUCUGACGCAGCGACGCCGCGCAAGCGAUGAAGGUCUNNNGCUCGNAAAGCUCUGUCCCUGGGNAAGNAGGUCUUCGGACUUGACGGUACCUAAGGAGGAAGCCCCGGCUAACUACGUGCCAGCAGCCGCGGUAAUACGUAGGGGGCAAGCGUUGUCCGGAAUUAUUGGGCGUAAAGGGUGCGUAGGCGGCCUUUUAAGUCAGAUGUGAAGGCCAACGGCUUAACCGUGGGACUGCAUUUGAAACUGGAGGGCUUGAGUAUCGGAGAGGGUAGUGGAAUUCCCAGUGUAGCGGUGGAAUGCGUAGAUAUUGGGAGGAACGCCAGUGGCGAAGGCGACUACCUGGACGAAAACUGACGCUGAGGCACGAAAGCUAGGGGAGCAAACA